UUGAACGCUGGCGGCAGGCCUAACACAUGCAAGUCGAGCGGAUGACGGGAGCUUGCUCCUUGAUUCAGCGGCGGACGGGUGAGUAAUGCCUAGGAAUCUGCCUGGUAGUGGGGGACAACGUUUCGAAAGGAACGCUAAUACCGCAUACGUCCUACGGGAGAAAGCAGGGGACCUUCGGGCCUUGCGCUAUCAGAUGAGCCUAGGUCGGAUUAGCUUGUUGGUGAGGUAAUGGCUCACCAAGGCGACGAUCCGUAACUGGUCUGAGAGGAUGAUCAGUCACACUGGAACUGAGACACGGUCCAGACUCCUACGGGAGGCAGCAGUGGGGAAUAUUGGACAAUGGGCGAAAGCCUGAUCCAGCCAUGCCGCGUGUGUGAAGAAGGUCUUCGGAUUGUAAAGCACUUUAAGUGGGAGGAAGGGCAGUAAGCUAAUACCUUGCUGUUUUGACGUUACCGACAGAAUAAGCACCGGCUAACUCUGUGCCAGC
rnacentral:rRNA from 1 species